rnacentral:rRNA from 1 species
GACGAACGCUGGCGGCGUGCUCAACACAUGCAAGUCGAACGGAAAGGCCCUGCUUUUGUGGGGUGCUCGAGUGGCGAACGGGUGAGUAACACGUGAGUAACCUGCCCUUGACUUUGGGAUAACUUCAGGAAACUGGGGCUAAUACCGGAUAGGAGCUCCUGCUGCAUGGGGGGGGUUGGAAAGUUUCGGCGGUUGGGGAUGGACUCGCGGCUUAUCAGCUUGUUGGUGGGGUAGUGGCUUACCAAGGCUUUGACGGGUAGCCGGCCUGGGAGGGUGACCGGCCACAUUGGGACUGAGAGACGGCCCAGACUCCUACGGGAGGCAGCAGUGGGGAAUAUUGCACAAUGGGCGGAAGCCUGAUGCAGCAACGCCGCGUGCGGGAUGACGGCCUUCGGGUUGUAAACCGCUUUCGCCUGUGACGAAGCGUGAGUGACGGUAAUGGGUAAAGAAGCACCGGCUAACUACGUG